rnacentral:lncRNA from 1 species
UGUGGUAGAUUGGAACCUUUGGGAAUGGAGGCAGAGGCUUGUAGAUCGGCGCCGGCGGUGGACACUCCUUCUUUGGCACCGGCGGUGGCUCUGGCUUUGGGAUGUAUGGCGGCUUCACUACAACCGGCGGCUUAGGGGUCGGCUUUGGUAUAUAAGGCGGCUUCACCACAACCGGCGGCUUCGGUGUCGGCUUAGGGAUGAAAGGCGGCUUCACCACAACCGGCGGCUUGGGAGUUGGCUUGGGGAUGUACGGAGGCGGCUUGACUACAACCGGCGGCUCCGGGGUGGGCUUGGGAAUGUAAGGCGGAGGAAGAGUUACCGGCGGGAAAACCUUGGGAGGAAAUGGCGGG